rnacentral:rRNA from 1 species
GACGAACGCUGGCGGCGUGCUUAACACAUGCAAGUCGAACGGAAAGGCCCUGCUUUUGUGGGGUUCUCGUUUGGCGAACGGGUGAGUAACACGCGAGUAACCUGCCCUUGUCUUUGGGAUAUCUUCAGGAAACUGGGGCUCAUACCGGAUAUGAGCUCCUGCUGCAUGGUGGGGGUUGGAAAGUGUCGGCGGUUGUGGAUGGUCUCGCUGCUUAUGAGCUUGUUAGUCGGGUAGUUGCUUACCAAGCGUUUGACGGGUAGCCGGCCUGGGAGGGUUAACAGCGACAUUGGUACUGAGAGACGGCGCAGAAGGGAACGGGAGGCAGCAGGCGGGAAUAUUACGCAAUGAGCGGAAGCCAGAGACAGCAACGUCGCGUGCGGGAUGACCGCCUACGGGUUGUAAACAGAUUUCGCAUGUGACGAAGCGUGAGUGACGGUAAUGAGUAAAGAAGCACCGGCUAACUACGUG